rnacentral:lncRNA from 1 species
ACUCCUGGCAUAGAGUGUAAACAGUGUAAAUAGAUGCACAUUUGUGAUUGUGCAUAGUGGUAAAGAUUGGAACUACCUGUUUCUACACAUUUUAGCCUGAGCAAAGAUUUUUACUUUGAAGGUUUUUAAGAAUCAGAGGUAUGAAAUGUAAGAGGCACACUUCACAUUAAUUAAGAUUCUAUUGCAGGAAGAUUCUCUCUCUUUGAUAUUUGUGUUUCUCUUUUUAUUUUUCCUUUAUUACCCCAAUUCUUACCACUACCACCAGAAAAGGGAGGGAAUCUGGAGAUAAAAUUAGUAUUCAUCUCCAGGAUGCUAGCUACUCUAAGGAAGUAAUACCAGAUAGGUUUGUACUACAAAGUGCUUUAAGCCAAGGGAGAACUAGAGCAUGAAUGUAAUGUAGUAAAAUACACUAUGUUAUAUGUAAUUAUACAAAUUUAGGCAGAGUGUUAGCAAUCAAAAAUGUGAAUGCUAAAAGCCUUAUUAGAGCAUAAGGGUAUAAAAUGUGCCAUGACAGAAGGGACCCAUGUUUCAGCUAGUAAUGAAUUUUUUUAAAAAAAAAAAAAGAGAGAGAGAAUUUUUUAAUAUUUAUUUUUCAGUUCUUGGCGGACACAACAUCUUUGUUUGUAUGUGGUGUUGAGGAUCGAACCCGGGCUGCACGCAUACCAGGCGAGCGGGCUACCGCCUGAGCCACAUCCCCAGCCCUAGUAUGGCAUUUUGACUCCAACAAAAGUGCUUAGAGAAUGAGCAGGUUCUGGUUGCCUGUCCUGAUAUCACUUGUGAAAAAUUAGAGAUGUUUCAUCUCAAAUCCCAAAUUUCCUUGAACAUAAUAUAAUUGUCAUUCAUCUAAACUUUUAAAAAAUUAUAACUUUUGAUUAAAUCCCUGUUAGUG